UGAUUUUUUCUGCUAUCGCACUCAUCCGGGUUUUAGGCAUCCUCAGUCUGCCCAGAACUUUCGUUGUGGAAAGAUGUGCGGGAGUGAUGUGCGAUUUCUUGUGGUCCCUACUUUCCUUGUUUACGUUUUGCGCAGUGUUGCUUCUUCUUCCAUUGUGGAAUGAUUUAUCCUAGCUAACUUGUUGAGUUACAGGUGCAUGCGCCAUUCAUCAACGCCUACGUGUUGGCAUCAUCAACAAUCUUUAAAGUGGGUGACGAAAAGAAAUUGUUUUCCAGUUUUAAAAUAUUAAGCGUUCAGCACAACUCAGCCACAAAACAACGCACUGGAUUACGCUAAGAACCUGUCGAAACGCGCGCAGCCCCCGGGAGCGGUAGGAGAAAGGAAGAACGAGAGGAGGAAAAACUAAAGCCAGCGCGCAGCUCUGAUGGUACCCCGGACGCGGUAAGAAGAAAAAAGAUCGAGAGGAGGAAGAACGGUAAAUUUGGAAGGGGGAGACCGUUCUGCCGUCUCCACAGUGUGAGUAUGCCAAAACACGUGUUGGAAGGGAGAGAAAAAGUGUGGAAUAAACCGCAUGCGAAUGCGUGCAUACAGCAAAAGUAAA